GGAAAUGUAGCUCAAUGGUAGAGCAUUUGGCUAGCAUUCAUAAGGCCCUGUGUUCAAUUUCCA
rnacentral:tRNA from 1 species